rnacentral:rRNA from 1 species
UACGUAGGGUGCAAGCGUUAAUCGGAAUUACUGGGCGUAAAGAGCUCGUAGGUGGUUUGUCGCGUUGUUCGUGAAAACUCACAGCUCAACUGUGGGCGUGCGGGCGAUACGGGCAGACUGGAGUACUGCAGGGGAGACUGAAUUCCUGGUGUAGCGGUGGAAUGCGCAGAUAUCAGGAGGAACACCGGUGGCGAAGGCGGGUCUCUGGGCAGUAACUGACGCUGGAGGAGCGAAAGCGUGGGGAGCGAACAGG